AUGCUUGAGAAAACUCUGUACUUAUGGAAAUGUCCCAUGUUGCACUAUCCAAUAUGAUAGUCACUAGGCACAUGGGCUGUUGAACAAUAGAAAUAUGGCUAAUGUAAUUGAGAAACUGAAAAUGUAAUUUACAUGUACAUUUAAGAUGAAAUAGCCAGACAUGGCUACUAUUAUAAUGGACAACACAUUUUUACAAAUUAUGAGUUGACUUUAUUAUACCAGCCUCUAUCUCAUACUUCCUUAUUAUCUUCAAAACACAAUCGAUCAGGAACAAAAACGUAAUCUCAAGCUUCUAGAAAUUUGGCACACUCACCAAAGAACUGAAUACUCCUUUGCAGUCAGACCAUGUGUUCCAGACAACAUAACUAGAAAGAUGUGAGAAGGCACUUCAUGUGGGAGAUAAGCCUUGUUUUACUUAAUCCACUGAGAUGUCAGAGUUAAUUGUUACAGCAGCAGCCUGUUGUAUAGGCUGACUAACACAUGGUAACUAACAGAACACUUUGGAUUCUUGACAAAAUAAGAGCAAGAAAGCAGCAGCAGAAGCAGAAAUCAGAGGGGCGAGAAACCAAAAGCAACAGAGCAAGAGAACCCUAACAUAUGAGUCAUGAACCAAAAGAUGCAAGUGGCUUUUAGAAGCUGGAAAGGACAAGAAAAUGGAUUUUCCCCUGGAUCUUCCAGAAGGAACAUAGCCCAGCAACCCAUUUCUUACUUCUGACUGCCAGAACUGUAAAAGAAUCAAGGGUUCUCAGCUGACCGUGCUGCACUGUUUAUCAGAGGUUUCGGGACAUUAGGCCAAGGAAGAACUAUUACUACAGCAAAGAUAAGGGGAAAGGAAUAAAACCUCACAAGAAUUCCCUGUCGACCUAAAUGCCAUUCCUCUUUCGAGGCCAGACCCAGACUAUAGCUGGGUGUGACACUGUCGAUGUUUUAAUAAUAUCAGGAAAACACGUUAACCUCUAACUAUUUUGAUAACUCACAAAGCUAAAAAAUGUUCCAUGUUUAGCAAAAACGCCAGAGAACUUUUUGAAAUUCAUGGUACCCCAAAGGCUGACAGCAAGAAUAUACUUUCGGGUACAUAAGAAAGAAAAAUGUAUUUGGUAUGACUGGCUGUUAAUAUGUCAUGAAGAUAAAUCAUAAGUCUUAUUCUUGGGAAUCUUAAUAAAAGAAGCCACUUUGAGACAUGGAAAUAUAAAAAUAA
ensembl:lncRNA novel transcript